rnacentral:rRNA from 1 species
UACGUAGGGACCAAGCGUUGUUCGGAAUUACUGGGCGUAAAGGGCUCGUAGGCGGCCAACUAAGUCGGACGUGAAAUCCCCAGGCUCAACCUGGGAACUGCGUCUGAUACUGGAUGGCUUGAAUCCGGGAGAGGGAUGCAGAAUUCCAGGUGUAGCGGUGAAAUGCGUAGAUAUCUGGAGGAAUACCGGUGGCGAAGGCGGCAUCCUGGACCGGCAUUGACGCUGAGGAGCGAAAGCUAGGGGAGCAAACGGG